GACGUAGGGCGCGAGCGUUGUCCGGAUUUAUUGGGCGUAAAGAGCUCGUAGGCGGUCUGUCGCGUCUGCUGUGAAAACUCGGGGCUUAACCCCGGGCCUGCAGUGGGUACGGGCAGACUAGAGUGCGGUAGGGGAGACUGGAAUUCCUGGUGUAGCGGUGAAAUGCGCAGAUAUCAGGAAGAACACCCGUGGCGAAGGCGGCUCUCUGGGACGGUACUGACGCUGAGACGCGAAAGCCGUGGGAGCGAAGCA
rnacentral:rRNA from 1 species